rnacentral:rRNA from 1 species
UGGGGAAUAUUGGACAAUGGGCGCAAGCCUGAUCCAGCCAUGCCGCGUGGAUGAUGAAGGCCUUAGGGUUGUAAAGUCCUUUUAGCGGGGAAGAUAAUGACGGUACCCGCAGAAAAAGCCCCGGCUAACUUCGUGCCAGCAGCCGCGGUAAUACGAAGGGGGCUAGCGUUGCUCGGAAUUACUGGGCGUAAAGCGCACGUAGGCGGCUUGUUAAGUCGGAGGUGAAAUCCUGGAGCUCAACUCCAGAACUGCCUUCGAUACUGGCGAGCUUGAGUUCGGGAGAGGUGAGUGGAACUGCGAGUGUAGAGGUGAAAUUCGUAGAUAUUCGCAAGAACACCAGUGGCGAAGGCGGCUCACUGGCCCGAUACUGACGCUGAGGUGCGAAAGCGUGGGGAGCAAACA